rnacentral:rRNA from 1 species
ACAGGUGCUGCAUGGCUGUCAGUCAGCUCGUGUCGUGAGAUGUGGGUUAAGUCCCGCAACGAGCGCAACCCUUGUCAUUAGUUGCUACAUUCAGUUGGGGCACUCUAAUGAGACUGCCGGUGACAAACCGGAGGAAGGUGGGGAUGACGUCAAGUCCUCAUGGCCCUUAUAGGUGGGGCUACACACGUCAUACAGUGGAUGGUACAAAGGGUCGCCAACCCGCGAGGGGGAGCCAAUCCCAUAAAGCCAUUCGUAGUCCGGAUCGCAGUCUGCAACUCGACUGCGUGAAGUCGGAAUCGCUAGUAAUCGUGGAUCAGAAUGUCACGGUGAAUACGUUCCCGGGUCUU